rnacentral:rRNA from 1 species
AGAGUUUGAUCCUGGCUCAGGACGAACGCUGGCGGCGUGCUUAACACAUGCAAGUCGAACGAGGUUCAAUCAUUCGCAAGAAUGAGGCAGACCGAGUAGCGAACGGGUGCGUAACACGUGAGAAACCUAUCCCAGUCUCUGGAAUAACAGGUGGAAACACCUGCUAAUACCGGAUGUCGUUGGACCAUCGCAUGGUGAACCAACGAAAGAUUUAUCGGAGUGNAAGGGUCUCGCGGCCUAUCAGCUUGUUGGCGGNUAA